rfam:Candidatus Burkholderia crenata strain TZHbot9 BCREchr_ctg467, whole genome shotgun sequence.
GAACUGAAGAGUUCAAUCCUGGCUCAGUUUGAACACUGGCGGCAUGUCUUACAUUUUGUCCGGAAAGAAAACUUCCUGGUUAAUACCUGGGGAGGAUGACGGUACCGGAAGAAUAAGCACCGGUUAAUUACGUGCCAGCAGCCGCGGUAAUACGUAGGGUGUGAGCGUUAAUCGGAAUUACUGGGCGUAAAGCUUGCGCAGGCCGUUCGUUAAGACAGAUGUGAAAUCCCCGGGCUUAACUUGGGGACUGCGUUUGUGACUGGCGAGCUAGAGUAUGAGGGGAGGUAGAGUUCCACGUGUAGCAGUGAAAUAGGAAUACCGAUGGCGAAGGCAACUCCUUGGGCUAAUACUGACGUUCAUGCACGAAAGCGUGGAGAGCAAACAGGAUUAGAUACCCUGGUAGUCCACGCCCUAAACGGCGUCAACUAGUUGUUGGGGGUUCAUUUCCUUACUCAGUAACGUAGCUAACGCGUGAAGUUGACCGCCUGAGGAGUACGGUCACAAGAUUAUUAAAACUCAAAGGAAUUGACGGGGAUCCGCACAAGCGGUGGAUGAUGUGGAUUAAUUCGGUGCAACGCGAAAAAUCUUACCUACUUUUGACAUGGUCAGAACCCUGCUGAAAGGUGGGGGUGUUCGAAAGAGAACCGAUAUACAGGUGUUGCAUGGCUGUCGUCAGUUUGUGUCGUGAGAUGUUGGGUUAAGUCCUGCAACGAGCACAACCCUUGUCCUUAGUUGCUACGCAAGAGCACUCUAGGGAGACUGCUGGUGAAAAACCGGAAGGUUGGGGAUGACGUCAAGUCCUCAUGGUCCUUAUGGGUAAGGCUUCACACGUCAUACAAUGGUCGGAAGCCAGAAGGCCGCCAACCCGUGAGGGGGGGAUAAUCCCAGAAAACCGAUCGUAGUCUGCAACUAGACUACGUGAAGCUGGAAUCGAUAGUAAUUGCGGAUUAGCAAGCCGCGGUGAAUACGUUCCCGGGUACUGUAUACACCGCUCGUCACACCAUGGGAGUGUGGGAGUGGAUUUUCCAGAAGUGGCUAGUCUAACCGCAAGGAGGACGGUCAUCACGGUAGGAUUUAUGACUGAGGUGAAGUCGUAACAAGGUAGCGGUAUCGGAAGGUGCGGGUGGAUCACUUUUUUU